CAGCAGCCGCGGGAAUACGAAGGGGGCUAGCGUUGUUCGGAAUUACUGGGCGUAAAGCGCACGUAGGCGGCUUGGUAAGUUAGAGGUGAAAGCCUGGAGCUCAACUCCAGAAUUGCCUUUAAGACUGCCGAGCUAGCAGGUGAGAGAGGUAAGUAGAAUUCCGAGUGUAGAGGUGAAAUUCGUAGAUAUUCGGAAGAACACCAGUGGCGAAGGCGGCUUACUGGCUCAUACUGGACGCUGAGGUGCGAAAGCGUGGGGAGCAAACAGGAUUAGAUACCCCUGUAGUCCCUGUCUCUUAUAC
rnacentral:rRNA from 1 species